GCACGCCCCCUAUCUUCGACGGCCGAUUUCGGCUGUUUCAAUACCAAACAUUUAGAUUCCACGCACUUAAAAAAUCGGCCGUAAUAUCUAUUAUUUUUUAACCAAAAACCAAAUAUCCGGGGCUAAAAGUAAAAGAAAACACGACUUUCGCAGUCGCAGUAAUGUGGCCCCUACACCCCCCAAUGGUUUGAUUUUUACAAACGCUGUUUUCAUACUGGUGGCCGAGCCCUGUGUAUAUGCUGGACAGUUCGACCGGACGCAAAGUUGAGAACUUCAAAUUCCUCAUUCCGAUUAUUUCCAAGUUUGGUUGGCCGCAUGUAAAUAACACGGAUUUGCCCGGUUGUUGAGCAUUUUAUCGACAACGUGAUCAUAUUGAAGUUGGACAAAAAAGACCAGGACAUUUGGAGGAGUUACAAGCUGCAAAUGCGUCGUGCGGUCAAGUUUCUUACGGCAAAUGAGAAGCGGACCUAGUGCUUUGCUAGUGCUUAGUCGCAUUAACAUUCGUCAAUUUGUUGGACAAAAUUGUAGCAGCGGGCAUGAAUUUUACAAUCGCAUUAGAUCCAUAGAAAAUCUGCCUCAAAAUUUAAGAGACUUUUUACUGUACAAGUAACCAUGAAAAAACUUGAGCUCAUGAAGACUGAAAUAAAUGCAAUUAAAUCAA